rnacentral:rRNA from 1 species
AACGUAGGUGGCGAGCGUUAUCCGGAUUUACUGGGCGUAAAGGGAGCGUAGGCGGGUUUCUAAGUCAGGUGUUUAAUCCCGGGGCCCAACCCCGGACAGGCACUUGAAACUGGAAAUCUUGAAUAGUGGAGAGGUCAGUGGAAUUGGGGGUGUAGCGGUGGAAUGCGUAGAGAUCCCCAAGAACACCAGUUGCGAAGGCGGCGACCUGGUCCAUUACUGACGCUGAGGCGCGACAGCGUGGGGAGCAAACAGG